rnacentral:rRNA from 1 species
UACGUAGGGUGCUAGCGUUGUUCGGAAUCAUUGGGCGUAAAGGGUGCGUAGGCGGGUCUUUAAGUCAGGGGUGAAAUCCUGGAGCUCAACUCCAGAACUGCCUUUGAUACUGAAGAUCUUGAGUUCGGGAGAGGUGAGUGGAACUGCGAGUGUAGGGGUGAAAUUCGUAGAUAUUCGCAAGAACACCAGUGGCGAAGGCGGCUCACUGGCUCAUAUCUGACGCUCAGGCGCGACAGCGUGGGGAUCAAACAGG